CAGCCGCCGCGGUAAUACAGAGGGUGCGAGCGUUAAUCGGAUUUACUGGGCGUAAAGCGUGCGUAGGCGGCUAAUUGAGUCGGAUGUGAAAUCCCCGAGCUUAACUUGGGAAUUGCAUUCGAUACUGGUUAGCUAGAGUGUGGGAGAGGAUGGUAGAAUUCCAGGUGUAGCGGUGAAAUGCGUAGAGAUCUGGAGGAAUACCGAUGGCGAAGGCAGCCAUCUGGCCUAACACUGACGCUGAGGUACGAAAGCAUGGGGAGCAAACAGGAUUAGAUACCCCGGUAGUCCCUGUCUCUUAUAA
rnacentral:rRNA from 1 species